CCUACGGGAGGCAGCAGUGGGGAAUAUUGCACAAUGGGGGAAACCCUGAUGCAGCGACGCCGCGUGAGUGACGAAGUAUUUCGGUACGUAAAGCUCUAUCAGCAGGGAAGAAAAUGACGGUACCUGACUAAUAAGCCCCGGCUAACUACGUGCCAGCAGCCGCGGUAAUACGUAGGGGGCAAGCGUUAUCCGGAUUUACUGGGUGUAAAGGGAGCGUAGACGGCAGCGCAAGUCUGGAGUGAAAUCCCAUGGCUUAACCAUGGAACUGCUUUGGAAACUGUGCAGCUAGAGUGCAGGAGAGGUAAGCGGAAUUCCUAGUGGAGCGGUGAAAUGCGUAGAUAUUAGGAGGAACACCAGUGGCGAAGGCGGCUUACUGGACUGUAACUGACGUUGAGGCUCGAAAGCGUGGGGAGCAAACAGGAUUAGAUACCCUUGUAGUC
rnacentral:rRNA from 1 species